AUUGAACGCUGGCGGCAGGCCUAACACAUGCAAGUCGAGCGGAUGAAGAGAGCUUGCUCUCUGAUUUAGCGGCGGACGGGUGAGUAAUGCCUAGGAAUCUGCCUGGUAGUGGGGGAUAACGUCCGGAAACGGGCGCUAAUACCGCAUACGUCCUACGGGAGAAAGCAGGGGACCUUCGGGCCUUGCGCUAUCAGAUGAGCCUAGGUCGGAUUAGCUAGUUGGUGAGGUAAUGGCUCACCAAGGCGACGAUCCGUAACUGGUCUGAGAGGAUGAUCAGUCACACUGGAACUGAGACACGGUCCAGACUUCUACGGGAGGCAGCAGUGGGGAAUAUUGGACAAUGGGCGAAAGCCUGAUCCAGCCAUGCCGCGUGUGUGAAGAAGGCCUUCGGAUUGUAAAGCACUUUAAGUUGGGAGGAAGGGCAGUAAGUUAAUACCUUGCUGUUUUGACGUUACCGACAGAAUAAGCACCGGCUAACUUCGUGCCAGCAGCCGCGGUAACAC
rnacentral:rRNA from 1 species